rnacentral:lncRNA from 1 species
CGCCUAAUUUUGGAUGGUAUUAAAUAUCGCGUAGGAUCACGAGGCGUUUUGAAUUUUUAUUGGAAUUUACUCUCUUUUUGGCUGUGUUGUCUAUAUACUUGUCUAUAUACUUGAAUUUUACAUUGUGCUCGAGUUUGUACUUGAAUUUUACAUUGUGCUUUAUGUCUAUAUACUUGAGUUUUACAUUGUGCUCGAGACUAAGCUAAAUGUUUAUAGUUUUUACUAUGUGCAUAAAAGAAAAAGAUUUUAGAUUGGUAUUUUUUUAAUUAGGUUAAAAGUGUUUAAAUGUAACACAAACUUUUGCGAACACUCGUCAUAAAUAUAUUUUCUGCAAUACCUUUUAUGACAUAAAGCUAUCAAUUACUGAAAAUUUAAUACGAUCUACAUAAGGUUUGAAGCAGAGGUUCCAUCUUGUUCGAAAAAAGGUGGAUGGUUAUUUUGGCCAACUUGUGUUCAUGCAAUGAAUGCUACCUAUAAUAAUUUUCCAAUCGUUGAUUCCUGCAACAAGCUUAGACUUAAAAUAGUUAAAAUAACUGGAGUUCAUUAAAUUUUACAAUAAAGAAGUAUGUGCAGGAUUUAAUUUCACGACUAAAGAGGACUCCAAAGAAGAAUUAAAGUUCUGGUAGAUCAAAGAUCGAGGAAUGAUUUGGUUUUAACUGGUUUGCAUCUUAUGAGCGAAGUAAAUAAUAUGAUUUAAAUUGAUGAUUUAGAGUUACACCUAUUGAAAUUCUGUAUCUCAAUGAUAUCCUGGCUAAUCGAUACGAUAUCCUGUAAAUCCACUCACACACAAAUUUUACUCACACAUGUAAAUCCUGUAAAUUCACUCACACACAUAAAUCUUAAAAAAGAUGUUUAUAUUUUUAUUUAUAAAUUGUAAAUUUUAUAUAAAUUGUAUAUUUUUUAUGUUUUUCAUUGUAUAUUACUAUUUGUAUUAAAAAUCGA